CGGGAUUGCCUUAGUAACGGCGAGUGAAGCGGCAAAAGCUCAAAUUUGAAAUCUGGUACCUUUGGUGCCCGAGUUGUAAUUUGGAGAGGGCAACUUUGGGACCGUUCCUUGUCUAUGUUCCUUGGAACAGGACGUCAUAGAGGGUGAGAAUCCCGUGUGGCGAGGAGUGCGGUUCUAUGUAAAGUGCCUUCGAAGAGUCGAGUUGUUUGGGAAUGCAGCUCUAAGUGGGUGGUAAAUUCCAUCUAAAGCUAAAUAUUGGCGAGAGACCGAUAGCGAACAAGUACAGUGAUGGAAAGAUGAAAAGAACUUUGAAAAGAGAGUGAAAAAGUACGUGAAAUUGUUGAAAGGGAAGGGCAUUUGAUCAGACAUGGUGUUUUGCGCCCUCUGCUCCUUGUGGGUGGGGGAAUCUCGCAGUUCACUGGGCCAGCAUCAGUUUUGGUGGCAGGAUAAAUCCGUAGGAAUGUAACUUGCUUCGGGAAGUAUUAUAGCCUAUGGGAAUACUGCCAGCUGGGACUGAGGACUGCGACGUAAGUCAAGGAUGCUGGCAUAAUGGUUAUAUGCCGCCCGUC
rnacentral:rRNA from 1 species